rnacentral:lncRNA from 1 species
UUGAAUGGAUGUGGUGUUUCUAGCCUGGUGCAGCGCUGCACUUUUAUCCUAAAUCAGGCCCUUGAGGGCGGAAUACAGGAUUUAGUGAAUUGUCCAAGAUGAGGUGACUCCCUCAGAAUUGAAUAAGGAACCUGUUUUCAAGCACCAGACAUGUGCAGUGACUGAUGGAAAAGCUGGGAAGACCUCUGUUCGCUCCUAAGAGAGGUACUGCUGGGUCAGCAUGGCUGGCCGGGGUCUGUGCUGCCUGCCUGUCCACAGCCACACAAGGGAGAGCACUGGGGUUUGAGUAGUAGAACCUUGAUUUUC